rnacentral:rRNA from 1 species
UACGUAGGGGGCAAGCGUUGUCCGGAAUCAUUGGGCGUAAAGAGCGUGUAGGCGGUCCGAUAAGUCCGCUCUGAAAGCCCGGGGCUCAACCCCGGGAGGCGGGCGGAUACUGUCGGGCUAGAGUCCGGAAGAGGCAAGUGGAAUUCCUGGUGUAGCGGUGAAAUGCGCAGAUAUCAGGAGGAACACCGGUGGCGAAGGCGGCUACCUGGACCGAUAUUGACGCUGAGACGCGAAAGCGUGGGGAGCAAACAGG